rnacentral:rRNA from 1 species
AUACGGAAGGUCCGGGCGUUAUCCGGAUUUAUUGGGUUUAAAGGGAGCGUAGGCCGUGAGGUAAGCGUGUUGUGAAAUGUAGGCGCCCAACGUCUGCACUGCAGCGCGAACUGCCCCACUUGAGUGCGCGCAACGCCGGCGGAACUCGUCGUGUAGCGGUGAAAUGCUUAGAUAUGACGAAGAACCCCGAUUGCGAAGGCAGCUGGCGGGAGCGUAACUGACGCUGAAGCUCGAAAGCGCGGGUAUCGAACAGGAUUAGAUACCCUGGUAGUCCGCGCGGUAAACGAUGGAUGCCCGCUGUGGCGCGCCUGGCGUGCCGCGGCUAAGCGAAAGCAUUAAGCAUCCCACCUGGGGAGUACGCCGGCAACGGUGAAACUCAAAGGAAUUGACGGGGCCCGCACAAGCGGAGGAACAUGUGGUUUAAUUCGAUGAUACGCGAGGAACCUUACCCGGGCUUGAACUGCAGGAGAACGAUUCAGAGAUGAUGAGGUCC